rnacentral:rRNA from 1 species
CCUACGGGAGGCAGCAGUGAGGAAUAUUGGUCAAUGGGCGAGAGCCUGAACCAGCCAAGUCGCGUGAGGGAGUACUGCCCUAUGGGUUGUAAACCUCUUUUGUCGGGGAGCAAAAGCCGGACGUGUCCGGCUGUGAGAGUACCCGAAGAAAAAGCAUCGGCAAACUCCGUGCCAGCAGCCGCGGUAAUACGGAGGAUGCGAGCGUUAUCCGGAUUUAUUGGGUUUAAAGGGUGCGCAGGCGGAUUUUUAAGUCAGCGGUAAAAUCGUGGGGCUCAACCCCAUCCAGCCGUUGAAACUGGGGAUCUAGAGUGUGUGAGAGGUAUGCGGAAUGCGUGGUGUAGCGGUGAAAUGCAUAGAUAUCACGCAGAACCCCGAUUGCGAAGGCAGCAUACCGGUGCACAACUGACGCUCAGGCACGAAAGCGUGGGUAUCGAACAGGAUUAGAUACCCCUGUAGUC